rnacentral:rRNA from 1 species
UGCGUAGGCGGCGGAGUAAGUCUGGUGUGAAAUCUCGGGGCUCAACCCCGAAACUGCACUUGAUACUGCUUCGCUCGAGUACUGGAGAGGAGACUGGAAUUUACGGUGUAGCAGUGAAAUGCGUAGAUAUCGUAAGGAAGACCAGUGGCGAAGGCGAGUCUCUGGACAGUUACUGACGCUGAGGACAGGCCAGGGGGAGCGAAACG